rnacentral:tRNA from 1 species
GCAGGGGUGCCGGAGUGGUCUAACGGACCUGACUGUAAAUCAGGCGGGCUUUGCCCUUCGUAGGUUCGAAUCCUACCCCCUGCA